rnacentral:rRNA from 1 species
AUUGAACGCUGGCGGAAUGCUUUACACAUGCAAGUCGAACGGCAGCAUAGGUGCUUGCACCUGAUGGCGAGUGGCGAACGGGUGAGUAAUACAUCGGAACGUGCCCAGUCGUGGGGGAUAACGUAGCGAAAGUUACGCUAAUACCGCAUACGAUCUAAGGAUGAAAGCGGGGGACCGUAAGGCCUCGCGCGAUUGGAGCGGCCGAUGUCAGAUUAGGUAGUUGGUGAGGUAAAGGCUCACCAAGCCGACGAUCUGUAGCUGGUCUGAGAGGACGACCAGCCACACUGGGACUGAGACACGGCCCAGACUCCUACGGGAGGCAGCAGUGGGGAAUUUUGGACAAUGGACGCAAGUCUGAUCCAGCCAUUCCGCGUGCAGGACGAAGGCCUUCGGGUUGUAAACUGCUUUUGUACGGAACGAAAAAGCUCUUACUAAUACUAGGAGUCCAUGACGGUACCGUAAGAAUAAGCACCGGCUAACUACGUGCCAGCCGCCGCAGUAA